UACGUAGGGGGCAAGCGUUGUCCGGAAUCAUUGGGCGUAAAGAGCGUGUAGGCGGCUCGGUAAGUCCGCUGUGAAAGUCCAGGGCUCAACCCUGGAACGUCGGAAGAACUGUCGAACUAGAGUCCGGAAGAGGCGAGUGGAAUUCCUGGUGUAGCGGUGAAAUGCGCAGAUAUCAGGAGGAACACCAAUGGCGAAGGCAGCUCGCUGGGACGGUACUGACGCCUGGAGACGCGAAAGCGUGGGAGC
rnacentral:rRNA from 1 species